GACGAACGCUGGCGGCGUGCUUAACACAUGCAAGUCGAACGGAAAGGCCCUGCUUUUGUGGGGUGCUCGAGUGGCGAACGGGUGAGUAACACGUGAGUAACCUGCCCUUGACUUUGGGAUAACUUCAGGAAACUGGGGCUAAUACCGGAUAGGAGCUCCUGCUGCAUGGUGGGGGUUGGAAAGUUUCGGCGGUUGGGGAUGGACUCGCGGCUUAUCAGCUUGUUGGUGGGGUAGUGGCUUACCAAGGCUUUGACGGGUAGCCGGCCUGAGAGGGUGACCGGCCACAUUGGGACUGAGAUACGGCCCAGACUCCUACGGGAGGCAGCAGUGGGGAUAUUGCACAAUGGGCGGAAGCCUGAUGCAGCAACGCCGCGUGCGGGAUGACGGCCUUCGGGUUGUAAACCGCUUUCGCCUGUGACGAAGCGUGAGUGACGGUAAUGGGUAAAGAAGCACCGGCUAACUACGU
rnacentral:rRNA from 1 species